rnacentral:snoRNA from 1 species
CUGCAACCAAUUAAGCCAAUGGGCCUCCUUUCCUCCCAGGGUCCCAGUGUGCAGUGGCUGCAAACAUCAGCCUCCAUGGUAAUGUCCACAGACUGUUGCUUGUAUGGAUUGCCCCGAGGGACCUUGGAGACAUCC